AUGCUCACUUUGGCAGCACAUAUUCUAAAAUUGGAACAAUACAGAGAAUAUUAGCAUGGCCCUGAACAAGGAUGACAAGCAAAUUCAUGAAGCAUUUCAUAGUAAA
rnacentral:snRNA from 1 species